rnacentral:rRNA from 1 species
UACGUAGGGUGCGAGCGUUAAUCGGAAUUACUGGGCGUAAAGCGUGCGCAGGCGGUUCGCUGUGUCCGAUGUGAAAGCCCCGGGCUUAACCUGGGAAUGGCAUUGGAAACUGGCGGGCUUGAGUGCGGCAGAGGGGGUGGAAUUCCGCGUGUAGCAGUGAAAUGCGUAGAGAUGCGGAGGAACACCGAUGGCGAAGGCAGCCCCUGGGUCGAUACUGACGCUCAGGCACGAAAGCGUGGGGAGCAAACAG